rnacentral:lncRNA from 1 species
AGGGACCCUUGGCAGUUUGGAGGUCUUGUUGCUUGUCAUAGCGAGGGCAGAGAGCAAUUGUUGUUUAGUGCAUAGAGGUCAGGGUGGGGGUUGGGGGGGCUACCAAACACUCUGCGUUACCCAAGACAACCCUUCACAGCAAAGAGCGAUCCUGCCCAAAACGUCACCCAGGCUGAGCCUGAGAAACGCUUGUAUUGUGCAGGAUAGGAGUUGCAGGGUGAAUUCUCAGACCUUUUUUUUUUUUUUUUUUUUUUUUUGGUAAGUAAACUACCCACAGUGUGGGGCUCAAACUCAUGACCUUGAGAUCAAGAGUCCCAUGCUCUACCGCCCGAGCCUGCCAGGGGCCACAGGGUCAAUUCUAAUUUCCACCCUACACACACUGUCUGCGAGCUGGGUGAUCACUGCCUCCUUGGCCUCAGUGUCCUCGCCUAUAAAACGCAGUGGAUUAGUGUUUCCAGACUGUCCUAUAGAUUGAGCCAACGUGACACCCUCUGACCCCAUCAGGUGCCUCCUGGGAGCAGACCCAGAGUCAAGGAUUUGAGAAAGGAUUUGGGAGGUGCCGGGAGGGGGAGGAGGAGAAGAAUCAUCCAGGGAAAGGCAAGCAGCCGGCAAGAGGUGUUCUGCCCAGCCAGCUGCUGCCGGGGCAAGACAACUUGCACCCGUGGGGCAAGGCUGGGAGAUCAGGCAAAGUACACAGCUCGGAAUUGUCCCAUUCCAGGUUCAAAGAGCUUCCGGAGGAUUCCAGCACUACAGCACGGAGGCGGAAACCAGCAGCUGGAGGGUGGAGAUGUGUCCGAGAGAGGCUCUUGGAUAUAGAGAUCCCAAACAGAAGAGAGGCCAUGGAGGUUCCGCGAUCGUAGCAGAAAGGGGCCGAUCCCAUGGCUCCUGGUUCGUCAGCUCUGGGUUCACGGGCCCAUUAACUUCCGCUGGCCCUGGAUGAGCAGCAGCUUUGGAAAAACAGGAGUGUGGAGUCGGGGCGCCGGUUCAGGGAGUGACAGAGAGGAGACCGGAGCUCCCCACACUUUAAUACCCAGAGGUGAACCAGCCUGAGGGAGCCACCU